ensembl:lncRNA novel transcript
GGAGGAAGGUGUUUUUCCUGAGACCAGAACUAGGAAAGUGAGAAAGUUUCCUGGUAACAGGGAACCUGAACGAAGGACUACCUUUAAAAUUUUGGGGAAGGGCGAGGGUUUGUUCUUAAAACCCAUUUUUCGAAUAGGUUAAACCUAUAUACAAAUAGCAGCAUUCUUGGUGGCAGUAAUUAGAGAAGAUUCAUCACAGUGGUUGGGAACAUAAAGGAAACGAGAGUGGGGAUGGGCAAGCCUGGGAUUAGAAAAAAAUAUGACCUCUUCCUUUCUCCUGAAUUAGUGCCUCGUCACUGUAAGCAGUCCUGGAAUUCAGGAACAAUGUUACAGAGAGACUGAAAAACUUGGCUCCUUGGUUUAGAAGCAGUACUGGCUGAAACUUAGUUCUUUGGAAAUACACAAGGUACCCAGGCUCUGAAAUGGCAACUCGUAAUACACUACCUCCAUUUAAAAGUUCCAUCCCUGAUGUCUUUAGCUAUUGAUCACUCAAAUGCAUUGUCUAAAGUAGCUUUAGUUCUCUCUCUUACCUUACUUCUUAGAGCAGAAGAGAGAGGUUCUACUAUAAAAGAAAUACAUCUUCAUUUUAGUAAAACCAGAAAAUUCAGAUCAGCAAAUAAAGAAAUAUUAGAAUCACCUCUAAUCCCAGUCAUCCGGAGUUAACUUGCUGGUGUCAUUUUCCUGGAUAUUCUCAUACUGUUUACCCAUGUCCCAUUCCAGGAGGCUUUUCAUAUAGAAGAUGAGUGGACACCAACUAGAGACACUGGAGCAAGGGCCCCACAGUGUGACAUUUGGUUGUCUCUUGAUGGGGGAGGGAAAGUGUGCUUUUGUGUACAAGUAUGAGAUAGGUGGAUUCUAUCAUGUGGAGGAUAUUGCUUCUCAGCCUUUUGGCUAAGAUCAAGUGUAGUAUCAUGAGGAGUUUUCUUCGAAAUUGUGGAUUUCCACUUAUGUAACUAGUGGUGCUAUUAUGUGCCCAGCACGAAGGUAUGUAAAUGUUGCAUUAAAACCUUCUUGAGG